rnacentral:tRNA from 1 species
GGUUAUAGCUCAGUGGCAUAAGCGCCUGCCUGACAAGCACAAGGUCCUGAGUUCAAUUCUCAGUACCA